ACAACCCGCUGAAGUCCAGUUCCAUGGUGUGGGAGAUUUGUUUUUUCGCUCCUUGCAAUAAAUCUUGCUACUGCUCUCUCUUUGGUUCCACACUGAUUUUAUGAGCUGUCACACUCACCACAAAGGUCUGCAGCUUCAUUCCUGAACCCAGCAAGACCACGAGCCCACAGGGAGAAACGAACAAUUCCAGACGCACCGCCUUAACAGCUGUAACGCUGCGAAGGUCUGUAGCUUCACUUCUGAGCCAGCGAGACCACGAACCACCAGGAGGGAAAAAACUCCGAACGCUUCCGAACAUCAGAAGGAACAAACGCCAGACGCGCCAUCUUAAGAGCUGUAACACUCACCACGAGGGUCCGUGGCUUCAUUCUUGAAGUCAGACCAAGAACCCACCAAUUCCAGGCACAAUCUCAUCUCUAUUUCUUUUUUAAAAUAAUAAAAUCCAAUAACAUUUUUUGUAAAGUUACUUUCUGCAGAUGGACAGAGGCCCACCCCAGAGUGUAGGAACACAAGCUAUACUUCAGCCCCACCAACCCUGGUCGUGCACCUAUGUGCAGUGCACAAACUGCCCAACUGUGCACAAUGACCCUGAUUAGAGGAGUGUUAGAUUGGAAAUCGGGUCCCACGGCAAUGGUCCAAGCAAAAGUUGCUAUGGAUCUGAACUAGAGCAGUGGAAGGUGGGAAGGAAAGGGGUAAACAUGCUUGAUAGUAGUUGGGAGACAAGCUCAGCUGAACUUGAUUAACUGGAUGCCCUGGUGAAAGCGAAGAAGGAGGCAAAUGAUAUUUAAUUCAGUACUUAAGGCCACGGGCACGGCAGAACGCAGCAUCAGGCAAUAUUUAUGCAAGAGAACUCACAAUCUAAUGAAAGGCAGAUGCAGCUUUCUGGGCUCGGGAGAGAGAGUUUGCAGGGAACUACUCAAGCCAAACCAUGAAAUCGAACCCCCUUUUUCCAGAUGAAUCCCAUCUACAACUUGGGAAAUGAUGUUUCAUCACCAGAUACCAAGAAAUCCUACCUUUUGGCAACAAGUUUUUCUCCGGCUUCACUUGAAAUGUGUGUUUUCCUUCUCUGCUGACUAGGCUAGCACCUUAUCUCAUAGAAUGAAACUGUCUCCCAGGCACCCACCCUUAAUUAGAAGGGGCUACCCCUAUUUCACCUGAGGAGAAAGGAAAUUUGUAAGAGAAAUUUUGCCUGCCUCAA
rnacentral:lncRNA from 1 species